rnacentral:rRNA from 1 species
CCUACGGGUGGCAGCAGUGAGGAAUAUUGGUCAAUGGGCGGGAGCCUGAACCAGCCAAGUAGCGUGAAGGAAGAAGGUACUUAGUAUUGUAAACUUCUUUUGUCGGGGAACAAAGGCGGUGACGCGUCUCCGGAUGAGUGUACCCGAAGAAAAAGCAUUGGCUAACUCCGUGCCAGCAGCCGCAGUAAUACGGAAGAUGCGGGCGUUAUCCGGAUUUAUUGGGUUUAAAGGGUGCGUAGGCUGGGAGGUAAGUCAGCGGUGAAAUGCCCCCGCUGAAAGGGGGGAAGUGCAAUUGAUACUGGCUUGCUGGAAUGCGGAUGCCGUAGGAGGAAUGUGUGGUGUAGCGGUGAAAUGCAUAGAUAUCACACAGAACACCGAUUGCGAAGGCAUCUCACGAAUCCGCGAUUGACGCUGAUGCACGAAAGCGUGGGUAUCAAACAGGAUUAGAUACCCCAGUAGUC